CUCUAAACCCUUAGGAUGUGUUCACCUGAACCAUAUUUCUUCAAUCUUCUUCCUUCUAAUUCGUCUAUUCCUCCCCUAAUUCGUCCAUGUUCUUCCUUGUCUAUCUCUGAUAUCCUCUUAAUUGCCGGAUCUUGAUAACAAUUGUACUUGAGAACAAUACAUUUGGCAUCAGAGCCGUUUCUAUCCAUGGCGGAGGUGGCUGUAAGGUGCGAAUUAAUGGGUUUGCAGUUGAAGUAUAUUAGGUUUUGCUUGGAGAUGCCCUCACCAAAUCGAGAAUUUAACCUUAGGAUAACCGAUAUGAUUACCAUUACAGAGAUGAAGUUGAAUUCAAUGAUGGCACUCUCCAAAUUGAAAAAUCAACAAUUAUCCAGACAACAGUUAGUUAAAGAAGUUGGGGUUAUGGAGGAAUUGAACAGUGAGGAAGGGAAUUCUACAAAUUCAACUCCAAUUUCCAACCUAAUUUGUGAUUCUAAUUCUCAAACUCCAACUCCAGAUGAUGUUGGAUCUCAGAAGUUCAAAUCAAUUUCCAGGUGUAUUGAAGAGGAAUCUCUCGAUUUCGAAAUGAUUCCGUCAUUUUUAUUUGAGGAAAAAGAAGACUCAGUGGAUUCAGAACCACAAGAAGAGAAAUCCCUCACUACUAGGAGUAACUCGAUUGAUGUUCUGCAUUUUCCAAGCGAAGGUGUUGAGAGUAAACUGAUAAGGGACUUCAUCAGUCGAAACCAGGGUACAAUUGAUGGCCAAUAUUGCCUAUACUUGAAGGAGUUUUUCAUUCUAGACAACAAAGUAAACGGUAUGAAUUAUUCUUAUCUUCAUCUGGAUGAUGUUCGAUCGUUAUUUGAUAGAGGUAAAUAUGUUAUUGUCUUAUCAAUUUCUUAUGAGAAUUUGGUUAAUCCAUGGAUUCCUAGCUUGGGGUACCAGUCAGAUUUUCGGUGUAUGCCUUCGAUUGUUAGUUCUUGUGUUACUGAUGCUGCAAGUAUUGAUGAGAGGAUGUUGUUUGUUAAAUUGAUUGAUAGAAUUAGACCAGUGUUGCUCUUGCUGGGUAGAACAAUUGAAAUGGAGAAGGUACUUGAACCUCAGGGUAUAGUGCCUUGGACUUUACUAUGGAGUUUGUAUACAGGUGGUGUUUGUUUUCUUAUUAAAAUGCCAGUGACUGAUAUGUCUGUUCAAGUGAUAAAGUGCUUUAAUUCAGCUGGAAAUUUGGUGUCGUUUCACGGCUAUUUCACAUGUUCAUCCUUGCAGUUAUUGGAGAUAGUUUUAGGCUUCUUAGAAUGGAAUUCUUCUUGCAAUAUCCAUUUCCUGCAUCUAUGAACUUUGGCAGUGAUACUACUCAAGGUAAAAGAAUGCAAGUAUAUUAAUAUUCAGCUGAUGUUCACUCUAGGUAUUAUGCUAUAUUUAAAUCUUAUAGAUUACAUCGACUAUUGAGUCUAUUUUACCAAACCAUGGGAGGCUAUAUGAAGUUUCAGUUCUAUGUCAGAGUAGUGGACACUCAAAGAUGGUUGACUGUAAAUUAUACUAUACAUGUGCUGCUAGUGGUGACUCCAUUGAGUUGUGAAUUUGUUCCGGCAGUUUUCUGGGGUGUGAGAAUUCUUUUAACCUAACUGUGGCACUUGUGGUUCUCACCAGCAGUGCAUUCUAGCUGGACAGUGUAUCUUGUGAUGGGAGUAAGCUUGCUUGUUUGGACUGAUGCUCAUGCCUUGAUGAGCUUUCUUAAGUACAUGGUUUAUGAGAGAUUUUCGAUCCGUGCAAGAGUUGCGUAUUAUGUGGGAAGGCAUUGCAACACAAGAAAUCGGGAUUUCAAAGAUGAUUAUUUCUAUAUGCUUCUUAGACGAAUUCUUCCUUACACAAUUUACUUCACUAAGAAAUCUCAAAUGUGUUUGAGUUCGAUAUAAAUGGAGAAAGGUGUGAUGCUAGUACCCUGGUUGAUAAAAUUCCACAGCAAUAUCAUAUUCCUUAGUCUAUUUUGAUACUACAAAUUGGAAGGAAAAAUGAGUCUGGAAGUGCACCAGAAUUAUACGGUCAGUUGAUUAUCAAAGUUACUAGUCUUGCUCAAAUGAUAAAAGCUGGAGAGGGAUUCAUGAAGAUGGAAAUAUCCUCAAAAAGCAGUGCUGUGUUUUUAGUUUGGAAACUGAUCAUUUUAAGGGGGUUGAGCUUUUUGGUUUUCUCAUCUGAGUUUCAUUUCACUAUAUUCUCCUUCAGAUUAUGGAGUAUGGGAAGACGAAUCGAGUUACAUGGCCAUAUAUGCAAGUUCACCCUCAUGCUCAGUAGUGACAGUGUAGUGAUGAAACUUUACAAGCACAGUAUUCUUGGGAUGCAUGGUCAAGUUCUUGCCACUACAGCUGAACCAUCUAUAAGGGCAAAACGGAUUUUGCAAGGGUUAUAAACUUCUUUAAAGGAAUUAAUCGGGUCACCUAACUCUGGUAUUGUUGGUUUCCUUCUAAGUCGUGGGUGGCAGCACUUGUGCUUGUUUCUAGGAAGCAGGAUAGGUAACAAGUACUUGAUGAUAGCAGCUGGGAAUUCAACAAAAUGCACGCAACCGAUCUUGAAGCAUCUGAAGUUCUUCACUAGUGAUGGAACAACAAUUGCAGUAACUCGUCCUAGUCCGAGGAAUGCACCAAACCCAUUAAAGGCUAAUUUUUCUGCUACUACGUUUUUUGUGGUACUCAUGGAUGUGAAGAGGGAUGUUACUACAGUUCUUGCACAACAGCUAUAAGUGGAACUCUUUGUUUUUGAAGUGCUUCUUCCGGAAAGUAACAGAACCUUGGCCGAAAUUGAAUUUUCAGGAGGUGUUGCUAGGGUUGCACACCCUGUUGGACAGUGGUUUACUGAGCUUGGCAUUAUGAUGUUUAUGGGCCUUGCAAGGAAAACUAGUGGUCAUUGUGUUACUACUGGCUACUGGCUGCACACCACAGGGAAUGUCAUGUACCUACAAUGGAGAGGAGUGCCCCAACUCAACUCUUAUCCUUGAAGAUAAGGAUGUUUUGAAGGAGUGGGGAAUGUCAUGUACCUACAAUGGAAAGGAGUGCCCCCAUCGUGUGGAGUGUCAAUGUGUAUUACUAUUGGCUGUAGUUAGUAGUAUUUAGCAUGUGAUAGGGUGUCUUUAACAGUUAUACUUGAUUGUUUAGAUGUAACCAUCUGGGUGCGUAAUGACCGUUAGAUUAGAUAGAUUAUCCUAGCUAUAUCUGGUGGCUUUUGUAUCUAAAGAAGGUAAUAAAUGAAUGAAUGAAUCUCUAACCCUUAGGCUGUGUUCAC